AGAGAGCGACAUUUUUAAAUCGUCCGACUCUGGAGCUGGGCUGUUGCUAGGGACGGAGGUUUUAUUUUGAGGACAACUUUGCCGAGCACCAGGCGCCAAAGACCCGUGCCUUGGCAAGGGAUUGGUGGAAUUGUUUGAACGCCGAAGGGCUGGGGCAGGAGCGGUGGACUUAGUGAGUAGCCGGCACCAUGCUGAGUUUCAGCGCCUGUCUGAUCCUGACCUGCUACGGAGCGUCACUCAAGAGACGGGAGCAGGACGUGGGACUCGCAGUGAACUACCUAUCGAAGUACGGCUAUGCAGAACAAGACCCUAGUGCGCCUGCGGGGCUGACGUCACGGGGAGACCUCACACCCACCGUCAGAAAAGCGAUCUGCAAGUUCCAACGGUUCAUGAACUUACCGGUU